UGGGGAAUAUUGGACAAUGGGCGCAAGCCUGAUCCAGCAAUGCCGCGUGUGUGAAGAAGGUCUUCGGAUUGUAAAGCACUUUCGGCGGGGACGAUGAUGACGGUACCCGCAUAAGAAGCCCCGGCUAACUUCGUGCCAGCAGCCGCGGCAAUACGAAGGGGGCUAGCGUUGCUCGGAAUGACUGGGCGUAAAGGGCGCGUAGGCGGCAUGUACAGUCAGACAUGAAAUUCCUGGGCUUAACCUGGGGGCUGCGUUUGAUACGUGCAGGCUAGAGUGGGGAAGAGGGUUGUGGAAUUCCCAGUGUAGAGGUGAAAUUCGUAGAUAUUGGGAAGAACACCGGUGGCGAAGGCGGCAACCUGGUCCUUGACUGACGCUGAGGCGCGAAAGCGUGGGGAGCAAACA
rnacentral:rRNA from 1 species